rnacentral:pre_miRNA from 1 species
AUCAUACUUCCUCCAUCCGAAAAAGCUUGUCCCAAGCUUGUCCAUCAAAUGGAUGUAUCUAGCACCAAGUUAGUGCUAGAUACAUCCAUUUGAGGGACAAGCUUUUCCGGACGGAGGGAGUAUGAA